rnacentral:tRNA from 3 species
CGGGCCGUAGUAUACCGGUAGUACAUACGCUUCGGGUGCGUAGAGACCGGGUUCGAUUCCCGGCGGCCCGACAA